CCUACGGGUGGCUGCAGUGAGGAAUAUUGGUCAAUGGACGAGAGUCUGAACCAGCCAAGUAGCGUGAAGGAUGACUGCCCUAUGGGUUGUAAACUUCUUUUAUAUGGGAAUAAAAUGUUCCACGUGUGGGAUUUUGUAUGUACCAUAUGAAUAAGGAUCGGCUAACUCCGUGCCAGCAGCCGCGGUAAUACGGAGGAUCCGAGCGUUAUCCGGAUUUAUUGGGUUUAAAGGGAGCGUAGGUGGAUUGUUAAGUCAGUUGUGAAAGUUUGCGGCUCAACCGUAAAAUUGCAGUUGAUACUGGCAGUCUUGAGUACAGUAGAGGUAAGCGGAAUUCGUGGUGUAGCGGUGAAAUGCGUAGAUAUAACGAAGAACUCCGAUUGCGAAGGCAGUUCACUGGACUGAAACUGACACUGAGGCUCGAAAGUGUGGGUAUCAAACAGGAUUAGAUACCCGAGUAGUC
rnacentral:rRNA from 1 species